rnacentral:tRNA from 1 species
GAGUGUAUAGCUCAGUGGUAGAGUGCACUGCUUAGCAUGCAUGAGGUCCUGGGUUCAAUCCCCAGUACCUCCA